rnacentral:rRNA from 1 species
UGAGGAAUAUUGCACAAUGGGCGAAAGCCUGAUGCAGCAACGCCGCGUGAGGGACGAAGGCCUUCGGGUCGUAAACCUCUUUUCUGGGGGACGAGUAAGGACGGUACUCCAGGAAUAAGUCUCGGCUAACUACGUGCCAGCAGCCGCGGUAAAACGUAGGAGGCGAGCGUUAUCCGGAUUUACUGGGCGUAAAGCGUACGCAGGUGGCUUCGUUAGUCGGACAGGAAAGCUCCUGGCUUAACUGGGAGAGGUUGUUCGAUACUGCGGGGAUGGGGGUUGGGGGCGGGGCGCGGAAUUCCCGGUGUAUUGGUGGAAUGCGUAGAUAUCGGGAGGAGCACCAGUGGCGC